UACUUUCCAUCAAACUUAAAUAAAUGGACGAUGGGAAAUAGAAAAUCAGAAAAGCGCGCCGAAAUUGUUGAUAGGCAGCGAAGGAAGAUGAAAUCACGAACCACCGUGUUUGGUCAUGGUUUUGUGGCUUUGGGAGAAAUGAUGGGAUUCUGCAUUGCUUAAACGAUCGAUGGCGAGGAUUUGGGAGAGUAUCAGUGUUGGAUGUGAUUUAAGCUGCAGAAAAAUCGUCGUGACGGAGAUAUUCGAUUCAUCAAUUCACAAGUGUUUAAAGGAAGUUUGGUUCAAUUGAAUUAGGGCUUUCACUCAGAGACAGCUAACAUUCGGUUCAUGGAAUUAAUUUGGGAGGAGAAUCAUCGUUGAUCGCUGUGGAGUUCGCUGGAAAAUCGGUGAUUGAAUUUCCUAAAAGUUAUUGGGAGAAAUCGAUCGUUACGCUGCCAGAAAAGGAUCGUCAAAGAGAAAACACAUAAAUGGAAGCUCUGAAAUCAAAUGAAAUUCCACGCAUCUGGAGGUUGGAGAAUCAGUUCGUCUGAGUAACUGAUGGAGUAUCCCUUCUUCUCAAAAUUUUCGAGGUGAUUCCAACCGCACUAAUAUUUAUUAUGAUUUUAGGACCUAAUUAGUAGAUUUUGAGAAAUUUGAAGGAAGGAAAAACAUUAAUUUCGCAAGAACCAAGCUUUAAUUGAGGUAAAUAGUAGUUAAUUGGAACAUUUAUCUAAGUUUUGCAUUGUAUUGACUCGAAUAUGACUUGUUAACGAUGGUUGCGGAUGAAAUAUGAUUGAGAUGAUUGAUUUUGGCUUA